AUUGAACGCUGGCGGUAUGCCUUACACAUGCAAGUCGAACGGUAGAGGGGCUACCCUUGAGAGUGGCGAACGGGUGAGUAAUACAUCGGAACGUGCCCAGUCGUGGGGGAUAACGUAACGAAAGCUACGCUAAUACCGCAUACGACCUGAGGGUGAAAGCGGGGGAUCGCAAGACCUCGCGCGAUUGGAGCGGCCGAUGGCAGAUUAGGUAGUUGGUGGGGUAAAGGCCUACCAAGCCUGCGAUCUGUAGCUGGUCUGAGAGGACGACCAGCCACACUGGGACUGAGACACGGCCCAGACUCCUACGGGAGGCAGCAGUGGGGAAUUUUGGACAAUGGGCGAAAGCCUGAUCCAGCCAUACCGCGUGCGGGAAGAAGGCCUUCGGGUUGUAAACCGCUUUUGUCAGGGAAGAAAUCUUCUGGGUUAAUACCUCGGGAGGAUGACGGUACCUGAAGAAUAAGCACCGGCUAACUACGUGCCAGCCGCCGCCGUAAAAC
rnacentral:rRNA from 1 species